GCUUGUCUCAAAGAUUAAGCCAUGCAUGUCUAAGUAUAGUACCUUAUACUGCGAAACUGCGAAUGGCUCAUUAAAUCAGUUAUAAUUCAUUUGAUGGUACUUACUACUCGGAUAACCGUAGUAAUUCUAGAGCUAAUACAUGCAAAAAAACCCAGACUUACGAAUGGGUGCACUUAUUAGAUAAAGCCAACGCUGGGUAAAACCAGUUUCCCUUGGUGAUUCAUAAUAAUUAAGCGGAUCGCAUGGCCUUGUGCUAGCGACAGUCCACUCGAUUUUCUGCCCUAUCAUGGUUGAGAUUGUAAGAUAGAGGCUUACAAUGCCUACAACGGGUAACGGGGAAUUAGGGUUCGAUUCCGGAGAGGGAGCCUGAGAAACGGCUACCACAUCCAAGGAAGGCAGCAGG
rnacentral:rRNA from 1 species